rnacentral:rRNA from 1 species
GAUGAACGCUGGCGGCGUGCUUAACACAUGCAAGUCGAACGAUGAAGCCCAGCUUGCUGGGUGGAUUAGUGGCGAACGGGUGAGUAACACGUGAGUAACCUGCCCUUAACUCUGGGAUAAGCCUGGGAAACUGGGUCUAAUACCGGAUAGGAGCGCCUACCGCAUGGUGGGUGUUGGAAAGAUUUAUCGGUUUUGGAUGGACUCGCGGCCUAUCAGCUUGUUGGUGAGGUAAUGGCUCACCAAGGCGACGACGGGUAGCCGGCCUGAGAGGGUGACCGGCCAAACUGGGACUGAGACACGGCCCAGACUCCUACGGGAGGCAGCAGUGGGGAAUAUUGCACAAUGGGCGCAAGCCUGAUGCAGCGACGCCGCGUGAGGGAUGACGGCCUUCGGGUUGUAAACCUCUUUCAGUAGGGAAGAAGCGAAAGUGACGUUACCUGCAGAAGAAGCACCGGCUAACUACGUG